ACUGCGUAGGACGUUAGGAAAUAUCAACUCACAACCGAACGUCCACAGAAUCCCAGGAGGAGAGUCACGAGAUUAGUACUCCUACAAUCACUCAGUUUCACCCGAAGCAAUCCGGGAGGACAGAAAGGCCCCAGAAGGGGCCUUUUUCCACACGUGGGAUACUGCAUACUAGACCUCCGGAGAGACGACGACGCAGACACAGGGCUGGAACAAGGAUUCGUUCUGUAGGCCUUCUCCAGUGAACGAACGCCAACGGCCCGCGGUGCUAGUGGGUCGGCCCCACUCGACGAUGCGGAUCGCACACCGAUUGCAAGUCGAAGGACGUGUAAACUGACCGCAGAGGUUGAUACCAGACAGACACGACAGCGCGUAUUUCUUUGCCCCAGGUGCCCAGCCUCAACUCCAAGCACGAACGGCCAUCUAGAGGGUCCUUCAGGUUUGCAUGCCCACGAGACACGGCGCGAAUCGAAUCGCCCAGCGAGAAAGGAUCCUGCGCAGCGGACGGCAUUGGUACAGGGUGAGGCAGCAGAGCGGUGAGCAAAUGCACAAGUUACUCUAAAACCACCAAAAUGAAGCAU